rnacentral:lncRNA from 10 species
AAAGAGUCCGGAUCUGGGGCUCCAUCAUGAAUCUCUAAGAGUGGCCCAGAGAUUCUCACGUUCCCUAGUCAUUCACCCACGUGCCUCAGCUGCAGAACCUGUCCUCAAGGUGCUCACAGGCUGAGGGAAGGCAGACAGAGGACAAGUGGCAACCUACAAAACACCAAAUGGGCUCCAUACUCAACCAAGGUGCCCCUCAGCCAGAACUGGACACAUUGCCAGAGAACUCCAGGGGUCAUCUGGUCGGCUCAGCCUCCCGGUUUCCGACAGACAGUCACCAUAGACUCACCUGAACUGUGAGAAGUAGAGGAAGGCGUCCCAGAGGAGUGCACCGAAGUCACCCAGCGGCCGAGUGAGAACUCCAGUCCAGCUUUCCACCCGCUACUCCGCGCAUCCCAGCUUGCCUUACAGCCGGGUACCGGCUCCACCAUUUUGCUAGAGAAGGCCGCGGAGGCUCAGAGAGGUGCGCACACUUGCCCUGAGUCACACAGCGAAUGCCCUCCGCGGUCCCAACGCAGAGAGAACGAGCCGAUCG